rnacentral:rRNA from 1 species
GACGAACGCUGGCGGCGUGCCUAAUACAUGCAAGUAGAACGCUGAAGGAGGAGCUUGCUUCUCUGGAUGAGUUGCGAACGGGUGAGUAACGCGUAGGUAACCUGCCUGGUAGCGGGGGAUAACUAUUGGAAACGAUAGCUAAUACCGCAUAAUAGUAGAUGUUGCAUGACAUUUGCUUAAAAGGUGCAAUUGCAUCACUACCAGAUGGACCUGCGUUGUAUUAGCUAGUUGGUGGGGUAACGGCUCACCAAGGCGACGAUACAUAGCCGACCUGAGAGGGUGAUCGGCCACACUGGGACUGAGACACGGCCCAGACUCCUACGGGAGGCAGCAGUAGGGAAUCGGCGGCAAUGGACGGAAGUCUGACCGAGCAACGCCGCGUGAGUGAAGAAGGUUUUCGGAUCGUAAAGCUCUGUUGUAAGAGAAGAACGAGUGUGAGAGUGGAAAGUUCACACUGUGACGGUAUCUUACCAGAAAGGGACGGCUAACUACGUG